AAGUCGUAACAAGGUUUCCGUAGGUGAACCUGCGGAAGGAUCAUUAUCGAGUUUUUGGAAAGGCGGGGGGAAAGGCUUGAUGCUGGUGGAGUGGCAACACUCUGCAUUUUUGUGCUCAGUCUUUCUCCUUUCCGACUCAAUCCACUCAACCACACUUGUGCACGCUCGAGGUUCUUGGUCUGGUACUUCCCCCCACGUCAGUGGGAGCAGCUGCCCGCUUUCCACCCUUCGGGGAGGCCGGUGGGAUUUGGCUGGGAUAUCAGGCUGGGGCUUCCUUAUUACAAACUUUUUAUUACUGUCUGUCAGAAUGUAAUGCCCCUUGUGGGCGAAAUGUUUAAUUACAACUUUCAACAACGGAUCUCUUGGCUCUC
rnacentral:misc_RNA from 1 species